GGACGGUAACUGAAAAAGGGCGUGGUCAAAAUUUUUGAUGAUGUCAUUUUCGAAAUCAGAAUUUUACGCGGAUUCGAAUGGUUGUGCCUGCGUCGCGGUCCGACUUUUCGUUGCGGAGAUAUGGACGGUAACUUAAAAAGGGCGUGGUCAAAAUUUUUGAUGACGUCAUUGUCUAAAUCAGAAUUUUACGGUGAUUCGAAUGGUGGUGUCUACGUCGCGGUCCGACUUUUCGUUGCCGAGAUACGGACGGUAACUUAAAAAGUGCGUGGUCAAAAUUUUUGAUGACGUCAUUUUCUAAAUCAGAAUUUUACGCGAAUUCGAAUGGCUGUGUCUGCGUCGCGGUCCGAUUUUUCGUUGCCGAGAUACGGACGGUAACUUAAAAAGUGCGUGGUCAAAAUUUUUGAUGACGUCAUUUUCUAAAUCAGAAUUUUACGCGAAUUCGAAUGGCUGUGUCUGCGUCGCGGUCCGAUUUUUCGUUGCCGAGAUACGGACGGUAACUUAAAAAGUGCGUGGUGAAAAUUUUUGAUGACGUCAUUUUCUAAAUCAGAAUUUUACGCGGAUUCGAAUGGUUGUGUCUGCGUCGCGGUCCGACUUUUCGUUGCCGAGAUAUGGACGGUAACUUAAAAAGGGCGUGGUCAAAAUUUUUGAUGACGUCAUUUUCUAAAUCAGAAUUUUACGCGGAUUCGAAAGGUGGUGUCUGCGUCGCGGUCCGACUUUUCGUUGCCGAAAUACGGACGGUAACUUAAAAAGGGCGUGGUCAAAAUUUUUGAUGACGUCAUUUUCUAAAUCAGAAUUCUAGGGUGAUUCGAAUGGUGGUGUAACAGCGUAACUCCUUACGCUUGCAUAUUUUGUUAAGAAGAUAUUAACGAAAGUUGUUUGUCUUGAUGAGGGCUACAACUUUGCUUAAUAUCUUUUCAACAAAUUAUGCGUAUUUAAGGAGAUACAUCUGCGCAUGCGCAGUAGCGUAACUUCUUACGCUUGCAUAUUUUGUUAAGAA